AGAGUAUGAUCCUUUCUCAGGAUGAACGCUGGCGGCGUGCUUAACACAUGCAAGUCGAACGGAGUUAUUAUUUCACAAGCAAUUAGCUUGCUAAGAGUGGAAGAGAGGAUAACUUAGUGGCGGACGGGCGAGUAACGCGUGGGGAACCCGCCCUGCACCGGGGGAUAACACCUGGAAACAGGUGCUAAUACCGCAUAAGCGCACGAGGCCGCAUGGCCAGGUGUGAAAAACUAAGGUGGUGCAGGAUGGACCCGCGUCUGAUUAGCUUGUUGGUAGGGUAACGGCCUACCAAGGGCGACGAUCAGUAGCCGGCCUGAGAGGGUGAACGGCCACAUUGGGACUGAGACACGGCCCAAACUCCUACGGGAGGCAGCAGUGGGGAAUAUUGGACAAUGGGGGAAACCCUGAUCCAGCGACGCCGCGUGAGUGAAGAAGUAUUUCGGUAUGUAAAGCUCUAUCAGCAGGGAAGAAAAUGACGGUACCUGACUAAGAAGCCCCGGCUAACUACGUGCCAGCAGCCGCGGUAAUACGUAGGGGGCAAGCGUUAUCCGGAUUUACUGGGUGUAAAGGGAGCGUAGACGGCAUAGCAAGUCUGAUGUGAAAGAUCGGGGCUCAACCCCGGGCCUGCAUUGGAAAUUGUUAAGCUGGAGUACAGGGGAGGUAAGCGGAAUUCCUAGUGUAGCGGUGAAAUGCGUAGAUAUUAGGAGGAACACCAGUGGCGAAGGCGGCUUACUGGACUGUAACUGACGUUGAGGCUCGAAAGCGUGGGGAGCAAACAAAAAUUAGAUACCCUGGUAGUCCACGCCGUAAACG
rnacentral:rRNA from 1 species